GCUCGCCGCUCCAGUCGGUUUCGCGGGAGGCUGUGUAGACGGCGAUGGGAGCGGUUCGGAGCCCGCGGGCCACAAAGCGGUGCAGCUGCGGGAAUCAACCCAGAUGCAUUUAGGGUCAGGUGCAACCGGGGGAUCAUUCAGAUACAGAAAAUCCUUGGAGUUUCGCCGGCAUCUCAGGAUGGAGUAACUGCCCCCACCCUCCCCCCUUCCUCAACCAGGAACCUCUUGCGAAGUGGGGAUCCAUCCAAUGGGCUAGUGUUAUAUCCUGGAAAUUAUCUAAUGGAGAUGAAAGUCAAUCCGUGGGUCUCACUGCCUAUAAGGAAGAACACCAGGCUUGGUGACUUUUCAUCGUUCCCAUUACUUACGACCUACGCAACUCGCUGGAGCUCCCACGUUUUCAGGAGGGAUGAUUUGCUCAUGCAUUGCCGAUAACCUCCCCUCCCUCGUUCUGAGUUCUGGUGGUUCCAGUGGGCCUGACCCGAAUCUCUGCUUCACAAGUUGGUAUGUGGCCCAGCCUGGCCGAAUUGAGGCCAACGAGAGUCAGGCCAGGGCUUUUUCCGGACCUGCUGUGAGAGAGAGACUCUCUUUCCAUCUAGGUUGCCAAGUUGGUAAAAGGUAAGCCUGAAGCUCCUGGUGGCCAUCUUAUUCCAUGUGCUCAGCAAUAAAGCCAAGAAAGAAAACCAGAUGCGAGGGCUGGAGGGAAACUGAUUCCUGAUCGCAUCAUUUAGCCUCCGGAUGCAGCAAAAGUAAGACAAGCACGGGUCUCUGACUUUGAGGAGCUGAUCGAUAUGAAAAGGACAAUACGAUCUGGUAGAGUCAGGCUGCCCUGGAAACACCAAGGCUGGCUUCCUACCCAGAACUUUGGGAGCAGAGGGAAGACUUCUGGGCUGGCA
rnacentral:lncRNA from 1 species